GGGGGGCGCCCCCCUCCUGGCGUCCUUUCUCCUGAUCCCGCCUCUCAGCUGUCAGAGAUCUGACCCGGGGAACGGUGCACCCAGAACUACUGCUCCGGAUUUCGGAGGAGGUGGGAAAGGAGUCCUCUCACUGCCCCACAUUCCACGGCUUUGGAGAUUCCUCGAUGGCACCCGCAUCCCUCUGUGAGCCAGGGUUGUACUAGGAAUGAUCACGGAUCAGGGAGGGGUAUCCUUUUCAUCCGCGGAGGAGAGAGGGACUCCCCGCACCCUACACCUGACUGCGGCGGGGUGUGUGCGUGUGUGUGCGCGUUUGUGUGUUCCUGCUCUAUGAGACUUUUCCCUCUUGUACCUUACAAACCACGCUGCCUUCUGGAGAAUGUACGUCUCAGCGGGUAACUGAUUCACAGAUCCACUGCAAGUCGUUACAGGGUCUCCUCCGCCUCAUCCAGUCCGACCGAGCGGCGAAGCCCGGGUUCAGCAGGCAGAGGCCGCGCCUCAGGGCUCUCAGGCUCUCCCCACCGCGCCCAGUGUCCGCCGCUCUCACCGCCCUUCUGGGCAGGCUCGGAACCACCAGAGCCUGCGGGACGCCCUUCGCCUCUCCCUCCACUCCAGGGACACUUGCAUAACGGGGAUCUAGAGCAACUCCUUCGCGUUGACCGCGGACGCCCCAGGGCCCGGGCAGCGACCCGCAGGUGGAAGCCGGGUGAAAACUGCCAAGGAGGGAGGUCAGCCCAGCGCGUCCUUGAGAACCCCAUGCUCCUGCUAAGCAGGACCCCAGGCGGAGGGAGCUUAGCGCAGAAGUCGGCGCUCAGCCAGCUCAGAGCUGGGUCCGCCGCACGCAGCCCCCGCGCCCCGCGCUGGCCCCGCCCCCGCGGCCCAUACCUGACCCACGUCCUCGCUGGCUUCCAGCUGCACGUUGCCGCGGCUCCGGCUUUCGCUGUCGCUCAGCAGAUCGUCCUCUGAGUCCUCGGGCAGCGACGAGGAGCCAGUAGAGGAGAGCGACGAGGUGGAGAGGCGGCGCGGCUGCUGCAGGUGUGAGGAGCCCACGGCCGGGAGCCAGCCACCCUCCGGCUCCGGUGGCCCCGGGCUGGUCGGGGGUGACCGGGAAGCUCAGACCUCGUGGACACAAAGUCAGGGCCUGGCCUUCGCAACCUCUCUGUCCCCGCUCUCGAAGAGACCGGAGGGGUCGCUCCGCCCCCGGGCCCUACUGCCUUGGAACUGGUCCUGCUCUCGCUCUCCUACCCAGUCCCUCCGGCUCCUUUCCACGAUCCAUCCUGGGCCAAGGAUUCCUGGUCUCCGGGCUUUCCUUCAGCAUGGAAUGCAAGGCCAUCAGCUUCCUGGGGAAGCCUCACCCCAGGGCGUGCGCCCAAGUGGGGACUCUGUCCUGGGCAAGACCUGAGGCUUCUUCCCCCCAAGCUCCCCACUUCUCAGCUGGCAGAGAACAAGGUCAGGGGGGCGGGGCCUGAAUCUCGCGGCGAGUCCUGGCGCAGUCCUGGGCAGCAUCCCUUGGCUACUGGCUGGCAGGGGCUGUGCCCUUCUGACUCCUUUUUCUGUGGAAUUCGGAGCGUGGAGUCUGCUGUGUGAUCCUAAGCAAGUCAUUUCACCUCCUUGAACUGUUGAUUCUUUUCCGCAGGGUUGUCGUCUACCUCACAGAAUUGCUAGGAGAAUAAAAUAAAAUGAAAGAUGUAAAAUCUAUACAAUAUGAGAAUAGUUUUAGUGUGGGUGGUAGGAAGAGCCAGUCUCAGGUUCAUCACACUCUAGAUGUGAUCUUUGACGUCUCUUCCCUUUGUAAAUUUAGGGAAACCUCACCUGACCCAGAGUUGUGGCUGUGACAGGGUAAGAGAGCCACGACGCUGGCUCAUCCGUGGUAUCGUGGUGCAGUAUUUGGCCACUUCACAAGUUAGUGGUCGGCUGAACUGCAGGGCUGCUGUAAGUAGAGUUUGUAUUUCACAGCAUUUCUUGUCUUCCCCCAAAAUGCCACCGGGGAGGAUCCCUCCUCAGGUGCCUCGUGCCUCAGGAUUGUUGGGGACCCUGUGGGGCAGGAUGCCGCAGAAGGAUUGCCUCUGAUGCUGAUGAAGGCCAAAAGAAGCUCUCCUUCCCCUCAUCUCCCUUCAGCUAGAUUCAAGGAUGGCCCAGGAGGAGACAAAAGGAGGGUUCAGAGAGAGAAAAUGGGAAGCUUCAGCAGAGCAAAAAGGAGAAGGCACUUGUCCUAAGCCCAGAAAGCAAAGAAGAGCUCUUUGCCCUAUUUUCCAAGUAUCCCUCAGUGGAAAGCUUACACAUACGUAACAGUCUUUGCAAGAGCUUAAAAGAGUCAAAGUCAUGUAUCAUCCUCUUCUCUUCAAGAACACCAGACCAGAUAUGGGAGCAACAACAAAAGAACAAAACUGGAAACCGAGAAAGACGAACACCUGUGGAGAAGAAUCUAUGGGAUGGGGAGGGAUAAGAAGGGCAGAAGACUGCUGCUUUUCACUAUAAAUCAAUACGUCUUAUGGGUCUAUGUGUGCACACAAACACGUGGAUGUGAAGAGUACAUGUUACUUCAAUAAUUAAAAAAAUUAACUGGAGCAA